rnacentral:lncRNA from 1 species
AUGAUUCCUGGAGUUACUGUAGAAGACAUGAAUCAGCAGGAGUUCAUCAGAGCUCUGGUAGCCCUCCUCAAAAAGUCCAGGAAGCUGAAAGUCCCUGAAUGGGUGGAUACCACCAAACUGGCCAAGCGCAAAGAGCUUACUCUCUGAGAUGAGAAGUGGUUCUACACAUGAGCUGCUUCCACAACAUAGCACCUAUACCACCAAGGUGGCGCUGGGGUUGGCUCCAUGACCAAGAUCUAUGGGGAAUGUCAGAUAAAUGGUGUCCUGCCCAGCCACGUCAGCCGAGUCUCCAAGAGUGUGGCCCACUGGGUCCUCCAAGCCCUGGAGGGGCUGAAAAUGGUGGAAAAGGACCAAGAUAGGGGCCAUAAACUGACACCUCAGGGUCAGAAAGAUCUGGACAGAAUCACUGGAUAGGUGGCAGCUGCCAACAAGAAGCAUUAA